rnacentral:lncRNA from 1 species
CACAGACACUGUACACCAUACACCACACUGUACACACCACACACCACACCACACCAGACACCACACAUACAGCACACACACAAACACACCACACACACUGCACUAUAUACCACACACACUCCAAACCCCACACGCAUUACACAUCACACCACACACACACACACCAGAUAACAUACCACACACUACAUACCACAUGUACCACACACAACACACAUCCUACAUACCACACACAGCACAUACCACAUACCACAUCACAUACCACACAUUCCACAUACGACAUCAUACACACCACACACACUGCACAUAUUAUACCAACACAUCCCACAUACCAUAUCAUAUACACCACACACAAACCACACACACAAAUGCAAACACCACAUACACCAUACAUACCCACACACACAAACACUGUAUACCAUACACCACACUGUACACACCACACACACACACACCAUACACACACAAACACACACACACACAAACUUCUGUUGAGGCUGUGCCCCCACCACUUGGAGCCACUACAUCUCCCUACCUCAACUUCUUUCCACUUGGUAGUCCUGUCUUCUGAAGUUAGUAAAUGCAGGCGUGAGGCAG